CCUGUAACAGUACAUUUCUAUUCAAUCUGAAGGGUUCAGAAUUAGAUGAUGUAGAAAAUACCCAUGAAAACAAUUCUUAUCAGGUUUAACUCUAAAAAGCUUAAACGAAUAUAAAGGAUGCCUAUUUUGAAUCUAAUUUAAUCUUAGACUUUGAAGGUAUUAAAUUGGUAAAAGUUUUAAUAGGAGAGGUGCAGUGGCUCAUGCCUGUAAUCCCAGCACUUUGGGAGGCCAAGGUGGGAGGACUGCUUGAGCCCAGGAGUUCAAGACCAGACUGGGCAACACAGCAAGGCCCUGUCUCUACAAAAAAUUUAAAAAAUUAGCCAGGUAUGGUGGUAUGUGCCUGUAGUCCCAGCUACUUGGGAGGCUAAGGCAGAAGGAUUGCUUGAGCCCAGGUGGUUGAGGCUGCAGUGAGCCGUGAUCACACCACUGUAUACCAGCCUUGGUGACAGAGCAAGAUCUUGUCUCAAAGAAAAUGUUUAUAAAUGAUCUAUAUAUAUUUAUGAGUUAUAUACACAUACUAUAAAUAGAUACAUUAGUAAAACUUUUUUUUAAUUCUUAUUUUUGUAGCCAAAAAAUGUAAAUAAACUUCCUACAAUUUUUAUUCCAUCCCAACAGACUACCCUUGGCAUACAUCAUGGCAGGAGUCAGCAAAUUAUGGCCUUUGGGCCAAAUCUGGCUUGCCAGUUUUUUGUGUAUGUGUGGUAAAGACAGUGUCUUGCUAUGUUGCCUAGGCUAAUCUUGAACUCCUGGCCUCAAGUGAUCCUCCCACCUUGGCCUCCAAAAGCUCUGGGAUUAUAAGUGUGAGUCACUGUACCUGGCCACUUGCCGCUUUUUAAAUAAAGUCAACUGGCACACAGGCACACCCAAUCAUGUUGCAUUGUUUAUGGCUGUUUUUGUGCUGAAAUAGCACUGAGAAGUUCCAUCAGAGACCUUAUGAUUGUCAAAAUUGAAAAUAUUUAUUACUUGCCUUUAUAGAAAAAAAUGUACCAUUCUCUGGACUAAAUAAUCAAAGAAAAGAUAAAGUAUAAUACAACAACAAAGGAAACAUUAUAUAUAUAGGGAUUAUGGAGAUUGAAAGUAAAAGGAUGGAAAAAGAUAUACCAUAUAAUCAAAACCAAAAGAUAGUUGAUAUGAUUGCAUUACUAUCACAUACGGUAGAUUUUAAGGUAAGAAAGAGGUAUAAAAAAUGAGUAACGGGCCGGGUGCAGUGGCUCAUGCCUGUAAUCCUAGCACUUUGGGAGGCCGAGGCAGGUGGAUCACGAGGUCAGGAGUUCGAGACCAGCCUGACCAACGUGGUGAAACCCCAUCUCUAUUAAAAAUACAAAAAUUAGCCGGGCGUGGUGGUGAGUGCCUGUAAUCCUAGCUACUCAGGAGGCUGAGGCAGGAGAAUCGUUUGGACCUGGGAGGUGGAGGUUGCAGUGAGCUGAGAUCGCGCCACUGCACUCCAGCCUGGGUGACAGAGUGAGAUUCUUGUAUAAACAACAACAACAACAACAACAACAAAACUGAGUAACGAUUUGUAAUGACAAAACAGUCCUUUCAAUAGAAGAUACAACAAAUCGAAAUUGCUAUGCACCUGGCAAACAUAGCGUCCAAAUAGCAUUUCUUAUUAUUCAUGGAUUACAUAUUUGUAAAUUCACACACUAAAAUUAUUUGCAACCUCAAAAUCAACACUUGCAGUUAUUUUGCAGUCAUUUGUGGAUAUGUACAGGAAGGUAAAAAAUUUGAAUUGCCUGACCUACAUGUUCCCAGAUGAGGCUCAACAAGGUGAUCUGCUUUCUUGUUUCAGCUCUGAUACUGUAAAUAAGUGUCCACUUCUCAGUCUAUUUAGUGCCAUAUUUACUGCAUUUUUGUGCUUUUUCUUGAUGAUUUCACUUUUUCUUUCUUUUUUUUUUGAGACAGAGUCUUGCUCUGUUGCCAGGCUGGAGUGCAGUGAUGUGAUCUUGGCUCACUGCAACCUCUGCCUCCCAGGUUCAAGCAAUUAUCCUGCCUCAGCCUCCUGAGUAGUUGGGACUACAGGCACGUGCCACCACGCCCAGGAAAAGAAAAUUUGGACAUAGACUCAUACAGAGGAAAGAUGAUGUGAGGACAGACAUCUAAGCCACGGAACAAGGCCCUUCCCUCACAGCUCUCAGAAGGAACCAAACCUGUUGACAUCUGUUUUUUUUUUUUUUGAGAUGGAGUCUAGCUCUGUCGCCCAGGCUGGAGUGCAGUAGCACGAUCUCAGCUCACUGCAGCCUCCGCCUCCCAGGUUCAAGUAAUUCUCCUGCCUCAGCCUCCCGAGUAGCUGGGAUUACGAGCACCCGCCACCAUGCCCGGCUAAUUUUUAUAUUUUUAGUAGAGACAGGGUUUCACCACGUUGGCCAGGCUGGUCUCGAACUCCUGACUUCAAGUGAUCUGCUCUCCUUGGCCUCCCAAAGUGCUGGGAUCACAGGCGUGAGCCACUGCACCCGGCCCCUGUUGACAUCUUGAUCUCAGACUUCACCCGGCCCCUGAUGACAUCUUGAUCUCAGACUUCUGGUCUCCAGAAUGGUGGGAAAAUAAAUUGCUGUUUCAUCUA